rnacentral:rRNA from 1 species
GAAGGUGGCAAGCGUUGUUCGGAUUUACUGGGCGUACAGGGAGCGCAGGCGGUUGGGUAAGCCCUCCGUGAAAUCUCCAGGCUUAACCUGGAAAGUGCAGAGGGGACUGCUCAGCUAGAGGAUGGGAGAGGAGCGCGGAAUUCCCGGUGUAGCGGUGAAAUGCGUAGAGAUCGGGAGGAAGGCCGGUGGCGAAGGCGGCGCUCUGGAACAUUUCUGACGCUGAGGCUCGAAAGCGUGGGGAGCAAACAGGAUUAGAUACCCUGGUAGUCCACGCCUUAAACGAUGGAUACUAAGUGUCGGCGGGUUACCGCCGGUGCCGCAGCUAACGCAGUAAGUAUCCCGCCUGGGAAGUACGGCCGCAAGGUUG